CGCGGGGUAGAGCAGCGGCAGCUCGUUUGGCUCAUAACCAAAAGGUCGGAGGUUCGAGUCCUCCCCCCGCUACCA
rnacentral:tRNA from 1 species